CGCCUUGCCAGCCCGCUACAGAAACUUAAAGGAAUGACGGGGGCCCGCACAAGCGGUGGAGCAUGUGGUUUAAUUCGAUGAUACGCGAGGAACCUUACCUGGGCUCAAAUGUAUGUUGACGUAUUCUGAAAGGGAUACUUCUUCGGACAAUAUACAAGGUGCUGCAUGGUUGUCGUCAGCUCGUGCCGUGAGGUGUCGGGUUAAGUCCCAUAACGAGCGCAACCCCUAUUGCUAGUUACCAUCAUUAAGUUGGGGACUCUAGCGAGACUGCCAGUGAUAAACUGGAGGAAGGUGGGGAUGACGUCAAAUCAUCAUGCCCCUUAUGACCUGGGCUACAAACGUGAUACAAUGGCUGGAACAAAGGGAUGCGAAGCAGUGAUGUGGAGCGAAACCCAUAAAAACAGUCUCAGUUCGGAUUGAAGUCUGCAACUCGACUUCAUGAAGUCGGAAUCGCUAGUAAUCGCGGAUCAGAACGCCGCGGUGAAUACGUUCUCGGGGUUU
rnacentral:rRNA from 1 species